UUAAAGGUGAGCUUCAAAAUAUAUUGUGCCCUGAAUGAUGGAAUCAUAUAUCUUAUGGAUGAGUUAGUGCCUAUCUCAGUUUAAUUUGUAACUUUUACCACCUUAUUUGGAUUUUAAAUUGUUUGCAAUUCUUUGAUAUUUCAACAUCUGAUGCAGUAAAGGCUCAACCUAGUUAUAAAAGAGCUUUGAUACAAGUUUAUGAUCAAUGAUGCUUUGGUUCAGAAACAUUCUUCUUACUGUCCAAUAUGAAUUGUAUUUUAUUUUCAAGAGUCAAGACUUUCCUAAAGGGUCGUGCUUGUUGAAUUGAUAGUUAUUCUAAUUCUAACUAUGCAGGAUUUUACUCUUGCAAGCUUCUUUAAAAACUGCAAAGAAUUAAACCUUGCUAGAAAUUUUCAAUUUCCAACCUUAAUAUAGGUGCUAAUUUUGAUAUAUGUUCAAUUUAUCUGUUAAUUGCAGGCUUGUAGUUAGAAACUUGAUAUUUUGAUAUAUGGCUUUGUUUGCAGUUGAUCCACUUUUAUUUGGAAAAUCCACUUGUCAACCUUUUCUAGUCUCAUUCUUCAUUACUCAGUUUCAUUAACAGAAAAUUGUUGAUUGACUGGCAGCAAGCUUCAAGAGAGAUAAGUGCCAUCGUCAGACUAAUAGUGUUGAUUGCGGAUAUUAUGUGAUGAAGUUCAUGAAAGAUAUCAUCACUCACCAACAACUUGUGAUCCCAACGAAAUGUUUUGAAGAUUGUCAGUUCGUUUCCUACAAUGAAGAGCAAUUGCGUGAAGUUAAAGAUGAGUGGGCCGCUUAUGUUUUUUACAAUUGUUUUUAGUAUUUAAUCUAUUGGAUAGUUAUCUAUGAGAUGGUGGUAGAUGAAGUUAAGGACGUGGUUGAGAUAUUACGCACUUUAGAAAUUGCUUCGAAUUUAUGAAGCUUUUGAUAUUUAUAUAUAUUGGUUUUGAUA